rnacentral:rRNA from 1 species
CAACGGCAUAGCUGGGUAGCUAUGUGUGGACGGGAUAAGUGCUGAAAGCAUCUAAGCAUGAAGCCCCCCCUCAAGAUGAGAUUUCCCAACUUCGGUUAUAAGAUCCCUCAAAGAUGAUGAGGUUAAUAGGUUCGAGGUGGAAGCAUGGUGACAUGUGGAGCUGACGAAUACUAAUCGAUCGAAGACUUAAUCAA